rnacentral:rRNA from 1 species
UGGACAAUGGCGAGCUGACGGAGCACGCCGCGUGAGGGUGAAGGCCUCUGGGCUGUAAACCUCUUUUAUCAAGGAAGAAGAUCUGACGGUACUUGAUGAAUAAGCCACGGCUAAUUCCGUGCCAGCAGCCGCGGUAAUACGGGAGUGGCAAGCGUUAUCCGGAAUUAUUGGGCGUAAAGCGUCCGCAGGCGGCCCUUCAAGUCUGCUGUUAAAAAGUGGAGCUUAACUCCAUCAUGGCAGUGGAAACUGUUGGGCUUGAGUGUGGUAGGGGCAGAGGGAAUUCCCGGUGUAGCGGUGAAAUGCGUAAAUAUCGGGAAGAACACCAGUGGCGAAGGCGCUCUGCUGGGCCAUCACUGACGCUCAUGGACGAAAGCCAGGGGAGCGAAAGGGAUUAAAUACCCCUGUAGUCCUGGCCGUAAACGAUGAACACUAGGUGUCGGGGGAAUCGACCCCCUCGGUGUCGUAGCCAACGCGUUAAGUGUUCCGCCUGGGGAGUACGCACGCAAGUGUGAAACUCAAGAAA